CUCCAACUCCUGAUUUCAGGUGAUCCACCCCCAUUGGCCUCCCAAAGUGCUGGGAUUACAGGCGUGAGCCACUGACUUUGCUUUUGUAUGAAACACAAAUCUGAUUUCCCCUGUGUGACAUGGAACACUUGAGCUUUUCACCCCAUUAACAGUGAGUAAAAAGGGAGAUUCUUUUUAAUUUCAGAAACAGCCUAAACAAAGCAGCUGCAUUAACUGCCUCAGAGGGUAGAGAUCAUUUUGUUCCUAUUCUGGAACACAGACUCAAUACUUUGUGUCAUGUGAAGGGUCCUCAGGUACCUCCCAUUGCCUUGAGUAGAAAGUGGGGCGGAGGUGGGGUAGAGGAGAUCUCUCCAGGGGAGAGAACUGCUUGUCUUGCAAGAGAACAAAAGGUACAGGGCUCUCUUUGAAAUAUGCACUUCCAGGUCCAGGGUUUAUGCUGCUAUGCACAAAGAUUGAUCAAGUACUUCAAAAUGAGUUGAAUGAGUUGAAUCCCUACCCCCAAAAGAUAUGAAGUCUUAACCCCUGGUACGUGUGGUUGUGACUUAUUUGGAAAUAGGAUCUUUGCAGAUAUAAACAAGUUAAGAUGAGGUCAGUAGGAUGGACUCUAAUCUAGUACAAUUGAUAUCCUUAUAGGAAGAGGGAAGUUUGGACACAGACACACACAGACAAGAGAAUACCAUGUGACAAAGGCAGAGAUUGGAAUGAUACAGCUGCAAGCCAGGGAUGCCAAGGAUUGCAGGUGAAGAGUCAAGGAAGGAUUCUACCCAGAGUUGCACGGCCUUAUUGACACCUUGAUUUGGGCUUCUAGACUCCAGAAUCAUGACAGAAUAAAUUUAUCUGUGUGGAUGUGUGUGUGUGUGUGUGUGUGUGUGUGUGUGUGUGUGUUUUCCUAAAAAAGAGACAAGGUCUCAUUCUAUCCCCCAGGAUGGAGUGCAGUGUCAUGAUCAUAGCUCACUGCAGCCUCGAUCUCCUGGACUCAAAGCAUCUUCCCACCCCAGCCUCCCAGGAAUCUGGGACUACAGGUGUGAACCACUGUGCCGGCUCUGUUGAUUUAAGCCACCGAGUUUGUGGAACUUUGUUAUGGCAGUUCUAGAAAAUGAAUAUAAUAAUUAAAAUGAAAGUUUUGCUAACUGCUACCUUUACCUUUACCAUGUGCAAUUUUAUUUUAUUCUUUUUUUAAGCUUCUUAUAACUCAGUUCACUGGUUUCAUAAUCUACUAAUGGGUUGUAAUCCAAAGUGUGAAUAAUAUACCAG
rnacentral:lncRNA from 1 species